rnacentral:rRNA from 1 species
UACGGAGGGUGCAAGCGUUGUCCGGAAUCACUGGGCGUAAAGGGCGCGUAGGCGGCUCAUGAAGGCUGUGGUGAAAGUCCGGGUCUCAACCUCGGAUCGGCCGUGGCGACUCGUGGGCUGGAGCACUGUAGAGGCGGGUGGAAUUCCGGGUGUAGCGGUGGAAUGCGUAGAGAUCCGGAAGAACACCAGUGGCGAAGGCGGCCCGCUGGGCAGUGGCUGACGCUGAGGCGCGACAGCGUGGGGAGCAAACAGG